rnacentral:rRNA from 1 species
UACGUAGGGGGCGAGCGUUAUCCGGAUUUACUGGGUGUAAAGGGAGUGUAGACGGCAGCGCAAGUCUGGAGUGAAAUGCCGGGGCUCAACCCCGGAAUUGCUUUGGAGACUGUGCAGCUAGAGUGCGGGAGAGGUAAGCGGAAUUCCUAGUGUAGCGGUGAAAUGCGUAGAUAUUAGGAGGAACACCAGUGGCGAAGGCGGCUUACUGGACCGUAACUGACGUUGAGGCUCGAAAGCGUGGGGAGCAAAUAGG